rnacentral:lncRNA from 1 species
GACUCGAUUGCAAAACUACCCAUAUGACCCCAACUUUAAACCCAGCAUAAGAAUAUUAUUUUUUUUUUUAAACAAAUAUGUUCAAUAUUAUUAGAAGCUCCACCGAAGCUUUACAAUUUCAGAAAUGGCGAAUCAAAAAACAAACAGGGCGCAAAACAAUGACUACAACCGGAAUAUCUUAGAAAGCCCACAGUGACUCUCUAGGCAUUUGAAGUGGGUUUACAUGGAGCUCAAAUGGCUGUUUUAGGUGAUUUUCAGAUGUUCUACAGGUGAUUUUGGAGCUAUUUUUGCCUGUCUUCUAAACAGAGGGGCUAUUAAUGGGAGUGACGCUGAGGUGGUUGGUUUUCCGGUGAGGGGUCGUUUGGGUUGAAGAGGCAGAAUGCUGGAGAUCCUUCCUUCUGGAGUCUCCUCUGCGCAGCUCCUCUAAUAUUCAAGCGUCCCCCUCUGUAUAUUCGUGUAUGUAUCGUCUGUAUAGGCAUGUGUUUUUGUGAAGAAAACCGCCCAGCUCCUUCUCGUGUCUCUCUCUUCUAUAUCUAUCCAUGUUGUGUAGGUGUUUUAGGUUAGGGUGGAUUUGGGUAUUGGGUUGGGUUGGUAGACUCG